rnacentral:rRNA from 1 species
GACGAACGCUGGCGGCGUGCUUAACACAUGCAAGUCGAACGGAAAGGCCCUGCUUUUGUGGGGUGCUCGAGUGGCGAACGGGUGAGUAACACGUGAGUAACCUGCCCUUGACUUUGGGAUAACUUCAGGAAACUGGGGCUAAUACCGGAUAGGAGCUCCUGCUGCAUGGUGGGGGUUGGAAAGUUUCGGCGGUUGGGGAUGGACUCGCGGCUUAUCAGCUUGUUGGUGGGGUAGUGGCUUACCAAGGCUUUGACGGGUAGCCGGCCUGAGAGGGUGACCGGCGACAUUGGGACUGAGAUACGGCCCAGACUCCUACGGGAGGCAGCAGUGGGGAAUAUGGCACAAUGGGCGGAAGCCUGAUGCAGCAACGCCGCGUGCGGGAUGACGGCCUUCGGGUUGUAAACCGCUUUCGCCGGUGACGAAGCGUGAAUGACGGUAAUGGGUAAAGAAGCACCGGCUAACUACGUG